AGCUCGCGCUUGCGCGACAGAAGGGUCAACUUCCUGCUCCAACCUGCAAUUUGAAUGCAGGGAUAAUAACAAAUAACCAAAGUUUAAUAAUAUUGCUGGAUUUUUUAUAAUGCUUAAUAAAUGAUGCGUGUAAAUUUACACAUAUUUAUUACGUCACUGAUAUAGUUUUUUAUUGCGUUUAUUUCUUUUAUAUUGAUUUGAAAAUGAAAACCUUAUUUAAUUGACCUAAAAUUUGUUUGUGUUUAACACUGAUUUAUGUUGUUUUUCUGUUUAAUAUUAGUGUGUCCUGGUAAACGUGUGCUCGGAAACAUGCAGAUUACAGUAUUUACAGAGCCGACCUUGAGGCACCCACUGAUGGAUAAUCUGUUUACCUAAAAACAGCCCACCACAAUCCAUGUUUACCAGCUGUGGAAGUGCAGGCCAAAAAUCUUCCUUCACCUGUGGGCCUCUUCCCACAUGUAGAUAAGCACUUCAGGAGAAACCUGCCUGUGAUCUGCUAAGAUGCACAGAUUCAACUCUGGCCCAUUGUCAUCCCAACACCUCAUCUGCCAUCAGUUUCGUUUAGUGUCGGUCUAUUGCAAAAGUUCAUAUAAACUUUAAAUGAGACUUUGUGUUAAGCAGGGGUUUCCAAACUUUUCAUUCCACAACAUAUUAAGCCCAGGAUACACAGCAGGAUUUUUGCAAUCCAAUAAGACCUUAUCACACUGUGUGACAAGGAUUGUUUAAACUUCAGCAGUAGACUGUCGAUGAAGACACCUAUUGCAUCUGAGGCUGCGACAUCCGUUAUCAGCAUGCGCUAGUGGUAAACAAAUACAGGUACGCAGGUCGAGGAAGCAAACACGUUGUUGAUGUGCGUUGAUCAUGCUGAACUUCUUACACUGUCAUAAAACUAUCGUAGGUGUCUUUGGUCCCAGGACUGGGAAAACAGACGUCUUUAAACCUCUCACACUGUACGAGAUAGGACCACCAAUUAAGAGCCACGAUCACAGAAAUCUCCACGAUUGUUUCACGAUUGGUAAUCUUUCAUCUGGGACAGCCAAAAAUCGUGCCGUGUAUUAUGGGCUUUAGACAGGUGUAAUCUUAUAGUAUAUCAAAACCAUUGCUAAUAAUUAAUUGGACAAACCAUCACUACAAUGCAACACUCACUAUCUUACGGGGCGACCCACAAGUGGGUCUUCACCCACAGUUUAAAAACCCUGAGUAUGAGUAAGAGUAUGUUGUAUUGUAAUUAAAGUCACAUCUAAGUGUUAUGGAACAGUUUGUCAUUAUAUUCACAGUAUUACAUGGUUCUUUCAGCAGUUACUACGUUACAGUGCUCUUAAAGUGUCCUGAUCAGCUUUGGGUCUUGUGAAGUAAUGUAAUGAGAAUGUGAUCAAUAUCUUUGCAGUAUUUUUGUUACACUGUGGCUGUAAUCAUAUUAACACAUAGGUUAAACAUUUUAUUCAAAUUUGGUAAACAAACUAGUCAAUAUAAUUCAUGCUGUGAUGCUGGAUUAAACUUGGUCAAAUGAU